GAUUUACUAAGAGCGCCAAAAAUUGAGGCACAACUAAUGAUGCUCAAAACGACCGUAUGCAAAUGGUUAUGGAAAUGCUGCAGUCAGUCUAUGAAAACAGUCGAUUAAAUUGUAAUGCUUUUCUCCUGCCAUGUAACACCUGAGCGAAGGAGGAUUGUCAAAAUAAAAGAUAUUAGAAACCAGGACAAUUUCCCCAGUGAUGAACAAUAAUGGCUAGUUCUGAAAUGAACCCUUCCACUGAACAAAAGGACUAAAACAUAUUGGU